GACGUAGGGCGCGAGCGUUGUCCGGAUUUAUUGGGCGUAAAGAGCUCGUAGGCGCUUGUCGCGUCGUUUCGUGAAAAACCCCGGGGGCUCAACCCCCGGGGCUUGCGGUCGAUACGGGCAGGCUGGAGUUCGGUAGGGGAGACUGGAAUUCCUGGUGUAGCGGUGAAAUGCGCAGAUAUCAGGAGGAACACCGGUGGCGAAGGCGGGUCUCUGGGGCCGAUACUGACGCUGAGGAGCGAAAAGCGUGGGGGAGCGAAACAGG
rnacentral:rRNA from 1 species